GCAGGUGAAUGCAACGUCAAGCGAUGGACGUUGCGCUCCAUAUUGUCUUACUUCCUAUUUUGAAUUACUGCAUAGCACACUUAAUUCACACCAAGCCGGCAAAGUUAUGCCGGCUUUU
rnacentral:sRNA from 1 species